rnacentral:rRNA from 1 species
CAAGGGCGCAGCCUGAAUGCAGCCAUGCCGCGGUGGUGUGAAGAAGGCCUUCGGGUUUGUAAAGCACUUUCAGCGAGGAGGAAGGUGGUGAACUUAAUACGUUCAUCAAUUGACGUUACUCGCAGAAGAAGCACCGGCUAACUCCGUGCCAGCAGCCGCGGUAAUACGA